AAAUUGAAGAGUUUGAUCAUGGCUCAGAUUGAACGCUGGCGGCAGGCCUAACACAUGCAAGUCGAACGGUAACAGGAAGCAGCUUGCUGCUUUGCUGACGAGUGGCGGACGGGUGAGUAAUGUCUGGGAAACUGCCUGAUGGAGGGGGGUAACUACUGGAAACGGUGGCUAAUACCGCAUAACGUCGCAAGACCAAAGAGGGGGACCUUCGGGCCUCUUG
rnacentral:rRNA from 1 species